AAUCCUAUAGAAGCAGAAGCAAGCAGCACACAGUUCUACAAAAGCUGGGACAAGCAGUACAGAGAGCUGGGGAGGGUAGAGAGACCGGAAACCAUCUUUCAGAGCAGACGGCCAUGCUUCAGCUAGAGUGCCAAGAGUAAGGAUGAGCAGUGGCCUAAUCUAGAAGUGAGGAUGUAAUUUAGACAGAAUGGAGCCAAUGGUACCCACGGAGACCAAGUAAAGGUUGUAAUUUGAUCUUAUAAGCCAGACAUCAGGUGAGUGUAUUUGUUCUUUUAUGUGUAUUUUUGUUCCUAGUGUCUCUCCCCUUCCCUUUCUUACUUACAAUACUAAUAUCACUAACUUUUUGCCCUUUUCAUUCAUAGUUGCUUGUUUCUCUUAAAUAUGUAAUUGAGACAUGUUUUUGUUUGAGAAUCAUACAUUACAAGGUACGCUUUCAAUUGUUUUGGAACUAUACUAAUCCUGUGUUAGUUUCUACCAUUAUCAAGGGCACAAGAAGGGAUGGAAAGAUGGCAGCAGAUACCACAUUGAGGAAGAGGAGAUUAUUGCAAGGGUUCAGGGUAUCCAUUAUAACAAUAUUCCAACAUUGGCCAAAGCGAAAUAUAGUCAAUUUCAAUAUAAAGAAUGGCAAUGCUACAACACUACUUCAGAAGAAGUGUCCAGGGAGUUGGGAUCAAUUUAAGCCAACUACUGAAUAACCAAUGACAGCAGAUAGAAGUAGAUGCCAAAAUGUGGAAUACCACAAAAUGACAAGGAGGCCAUUACCAGGAUACAGAUUAUCCACUACGUCAACAAGCCAACAUUGACCAAGAUGGUUAAAAC